CCUAAGGUAGCGAAAUUCCUUGUCAGGUAAGUUCUGACCCGCACGAAAGGCGUAACGAUUUGGGCGCUGUCUCAGCUGUAGACUCGGUGAAGUCUUAGUACCUGUGAAGAUGCAGGUUACCCGCGACUAGACGGAAAGACCCCAUGGAGCUUUACUGUAGCUUGAUAUUGGACUUUGAUGCAAGAUGUACAGGAUAGGUAGGAGACUGAGAGACAUGCACGCCAGUGUGUGAGGAGUCAAUGUUGGGAUACUACUCUUCUUGUAUUGGAGUUCUAACCGGAUGCCAUGGAACUGGCAACGGGACAGUGUCAGGUGGGCAGUUUGACUGGGGCGGUCGCCUCCCAAAGAGUAACGGAGGCGCCCAAAGAUACCCUCAGCUUGGAUGGAAAUCAAGCGCAGAGUGCAAAGGCAUAAGGGUGUUUGACUGCGAGACCUACAAGUCGAGCAGGGACGAAAGUCGGGCUUAGUGAUCCGGCGGUGCUGAAUGGAAAGGCCGUCGCUCAACGGAUAAAAGCUACCCUGGGGAUAACAGGCUGAUCUCCCCCAAGAGUUCACAUCGACGGGGAGGUUUGGCACCUCGAUGUCGGCUCAUCGCAUCCUGGAGCUGAAGUCGGUUCCAAGGGUUGGGCUGUUCGCCCAUUAAAGCGGUACGCGAGCUGGGUUCAGAACGUCGUGAGACAGUUCGGUCCCUAUCUGUCGUGGGCGUAGGAAGUUUGAGAAGAUCUGUCCUCAGUACGAGAGGACCGGGAUGGACAUAUCAAUGGUGCACCAGUUGUCACGCCAGUGGCACAGCUGGGUAGCUAAAUAUGGAAGGGAUAAACGCUGAAGGCAUCUAAGUGUGAAACCCACUUCAAGAUGAGACUUCCCAUUACGCAAGUAAGUAAGACCCCUUAAAGACGAUAAGGUUGAUAGGUCAGGAGUGUAAGCAUGGCGACAUGUUCAGCGGACUGAUACUAAUAGGUCGAGGACUUAACCUA
rnacentral:rRNA from 1 species